rnacentral:rRNA from 1 species
CCUACGGGUGGCUGCAGUGAGGAAUAUUGCUCAAUGGACGAGAGUCUGAACCAGCCAAGUAGCGUGAAGGAUGACUGCCCUAUGGGUUGUAAACUUCUUUUAUAUGGGAAUAAAAUGUUCCACGUGUGGGAUUUUGUAUGUACCAUAUGAAUAAGGAUAGGCUAACUCCGUGCCAGCAGCCGCGGUAAUACGGAGGAUCCGAGCGUUAUCCGGAUUUAUUGGGUUUAAAGGGAGCGUAGGUGGAUUGUUAAGGCAGUUGUGAAAGUGUGCGGCUCAACCGUAAAAUUGCAGUUGAAACUGGCGGGCUUGAGUGCAGUAGAGGUGGGUGGAAUUCGUGGUGUAGCGGUGAAAUGCGUAGAUAUCACGAAGAACUCCGAUUGCGAAGGCAGCUCACUGGACUGUAACUGACACUGAGGCUCGAAAGUGUGGGUAGCAAACAGGAUUAGAUACCCGAGUAGUC